rnacentral:misc_RNA from 1 species
GAUGAAGAACGUAGCGAACUGCGAUAAGUAAUGUGAAUUGCAGAAUUCAGUGAAUCAUCGAGUCUUUGAACGCACAUUGCGCCCCCUGGCAUUCCGGGGGGCAUGCCUGUCCGAGCGUCAUUGCUGCCCUUCAAGCCCGGCUUGUGUGUUGGGUCGUCGUCCCCCCCGGGGGACGGGCCCGAAAGGCAGCGGCGGCACCGCGUCCGGUCCUCGAGCGUAUGGGGCUUUGUCACCCGCUCGGUUAGGGCCGGCCGGGCGCCAGCCGGCGUCUCCAACCUUCUAUUUUACCAGGUUGACCUCGGAUCAGGUAGGGAUACCCGCUGAACUUAAGCAUAUCAAUAAGCGGAGGA